UAACGCGUGAAGGCGAGCACUCUAGACGAACUGCCGUUGACAAAACGGAGGAAGGUGGGGAUGACGUCAAAUCAUCAUGCCCCUUAUGUUCUGGGCUACACACGUGCUACAAUGGCCGGUACAGACGGACGCAAAGCCGCGAGGUGGAGCAAAUCCUAAAAAGCCGGUCUCAGUUCGGAUUGCAGGCUGCAAUUCGCCUGCAUGAAGUCGGAAUCGCUAGUAAUCGCAGGUCAGCAUACUGCGGUGAAUAUGUUCCCGGGCCUU
rnacentral:rRNA from 1 species